GAGAACAUUGAUCUUUGGCUUUUCUUCUAAGACUGUGACAGUUUUUUUUUUUCUCAUAUUUUGGGCUUUGAUCCAUUUUGAGUUAACUUUUCUAUAAAUGUAUUUUUCUACAUUUGUUUGCCAGUGUGUGGGGGCCCCUGUUCCCACGGAGCCUCCAUAUGGAGGUCAGCAUGUGGGGGUCUGCUCUCUCCCUCCUCAGAUUGAAUGUGGGUCUCGCAGGACAAGUCCUUCGCUGAUGGACCCAUCUCUCCGGGCUCUGCCACUUCACAUUCAGAUCUUAGCUUUGUCCUGCACUGCGUGCUUGCUCGCUUGCCUCUGACCUCAGCCUAAGAUUCUACAAGGCCACUCACUCAACCUCUUCACCGUGGCAUGCUGCAUGUUCUCUCUCUCCCUAGCAGCUCCUGGGAUGGUCUUUGGGGCCUGCUGCAUAAGAUGCUACCUUGGUGUACCUUGACAUGGAUGUUGCUUUCCUGUUCAUUGUGUUGUAAUCUGAACUGUACCUGUUCCCUUGUUGGUCAGUGUUCUUAAGGACUUGGUAAAUUCUGCCUCUCCUCCUCGUCCCUCCUUCUCUGGAGGACUAUAGGGAUCCACUCCCCAUUGUGGCCCAUUUUCCCAUUGUUCUUGUUUGUGUUGUUUCUCGGCCAUUUUUUAAUGCCGCCAUCAAUCAUUUUACACAACAUAGUCGACAUUUUUAUCUUGGGAUCUUUUUCUUCAGUUAGUCAUCUUGUUCUGCUUCAAUCCACAGCGAUCUUUGUGCUUGCCUUCCCCUUAGCCCUCACUUCCAUCCAUACUGUCCCCUUUCCUGCACUUGCUGAAUCUCCCAGUGAAUGUCCUUUCUAUUGUGUUGCCAGGCAUUUCAGGCACUUAAAUAUUCACAGAAUGCCAUGUCCUACCCCAUCUCUUCCCAGCUAGGAUGACACUGCGGUGCAAUUAACCUCUUGCAUCUCUUAUAGCCCAUUUCCCAGUUUUCCAACUUGCUCCAUAUUUGAGAAAACCAAAGAGAGAGAGAGAGAGAGAGAGAGAGAGAGAGAGAGAGAGAGUCACUGCCAGCCAGAAUCCAGGAUUGCUACAAGGGAAGCACACAGAAGGGGAACAGAAGCACCAGUUACGUACAGUUGAAAAUGGAGAAUAUACCUCUCAGUGCCUGGCCCGAUCUCUACCAGCUUGCUCCAGCUGAAGGAAGAAACCAGCCAUGUGUCUGUGAACAGCAAACCUCACCAUCUUAGUGUCUUCUCGUGGAGCUGUGAUAAAAUACCACCAACCUGAGAGAGAGGAAUCCUGGCCCAUAGAGCAGUACAGGGAUUUACACGCUGCAAAACACUGUAACUUCCACAACAUUGUGGCCCAGACAAACUGACAAAUCAAAUGAACCAUGGAAUCCUUCAGCCACACCUGUGGGAGCCUGUUGACCUUCACAGCCAGGAAUCCUUGAAGCCUUCAGCUCUGCUGCAGAACUUCUCUGGGGUAGCCUGAAGCAAUUGCUUCCUGAAGCAUCCCAUCAUGCCCCAGGGAUAAUAACCAUGACAACAGAAUGAGCAUCAGGGUACCUUGUAAAUUCAUCAACAGGUCCAGCUUUUGUAAACAUGGAAUGAGUUAAUAAGAUAAAGGAAUCUCAGAAUUGCUCUGCCCCGAAUGUGUGCUUUCUAUUAUGACAUUUUAACAAUGCAAUAUAUGCUUAAAAGUAUGUAGGCACAUGGAACCAAACAGGAU